UGGGGAAUAUUGGACAAUGGGCGAAAGCCUGAUCCAGCCAUGCCGCGUGUGUGAAGAAGGUCUUCGGAUUGUAAAGCACUUUAAGUUGGGAGGAAGGGCAGUAAGCGAAUACCUUGCUGUUUUGACGUUACCGACAGAAUAAGCACCGGCUAACUCUGUGCCAGCAGCCGCGGUAAUACAGAGGGUGCAAGCGUUAAUCGGAAUUACUGGGCGUAAAGCGCGCGUAGGUGGUUCGUUAAGUUGAAUGUGAAAGCCCCGGGCUCAACCUGGGAACUGCAUCCAAAACUGGCGAGCUAGAGUAGGGCAGAGGGUGGUGGAAUUUCCUGUGUGGCGGUGAAAUGCGUAGAUAUAGGAAGGAACACCAGUGGCGAAGGCGACCACCUGGGCUCAUACUGACACUGAGGUGCGAAAGCAUGGGGAGCAAACAGG
rnacentral:rRNA from 1 species